ACGGCUGCUACUUAAAUAUUUUCAUGAGCUUAUCACAAAAACUAUGAAUCGGGACAAAUUAGGUAACGUAAAAUAUAUUUAGGUUUGACAGAAGAAAUUCACCCGUGUAUAUUAUAUGGGUUUUGCUAUAGUGGCAGGGGCGUGACAGGCCGGCCUGCGCCCUGACACAGACGGCCUCUGUUCAUUUAUCAAAACCAUAUAUAACCCCACUAACAAUGCCCAAGAAUUUCACUUUCAAAAAAUUUUCCACAGCAACAUAGCAUUAUAUUCCAAGAAACUAUAUUCUCUCGAUAUACAAUGUUUCAGAUGAAGCUGCAGCCAAAUUCUGUUGUAUUAAAAUACAUAAUUCUGAUUGCACGCCAACUGAUUUUAGCAUGUGAUUACCUUCUU
rnacentral:lncRNA from 1 species